rnacentral:lncRNA from 1 species
UCAAACACAACACCACCACUCUCUCUAGGCUCCAGCCUCUCAACCAAAUUCAAUCCCCAAAUGCUAAACCAAAAACCUAAAACCUAGUUUGUCUCUCCCAAAUUCGAUCCCAAAUUUGAUCCUUAAUUCGAUUCCCAGCUUGUUAAUGGCUAGAGGGAAGAAAACACCGAUUCGUCCCCGACGAAGUACUUCUGUUCUGCAAGCUUCUUCUGAAGCAAUUUCUUCUCAACCGGAUCGUCCUUCAUCAGCAGCAAGUGGAUCAACUCGACCUGCACUUCUCCUACCAGCUGGAAGUCAACCCACUCCUGCAAAUCAACCUGAUUCGACCUGACCUGCUGCCAGCCAACCUGAUGCGACCCAACCUGCUGCAAGCCAACCUGAUGCGACCUAACCUGCUGCAAACCAACCUCUAAGUGAAGCAGUUGCAUCUACAGGGGAGAUUGAUUCUGAAACAUCAAGUAUAAUUCUAAUCUCUGUAUAAUUCUAAGCUUUGUAGAAUUGUAUAUACUAAUCUUUGUUGACAGUGAUGUAUAUAUUAAUGAUCAUGUUGAUAUUUACCAAAAAGACUGUUGAUAUUUGCAUAAUGAUCUUAUGUUAUUCUUGAGUCAACAUUUGAUAUUUACCAGAAAAACUGUUGAAAUUUGUAAUUGGUAGCAAUUGUUACGGGUGUAGAUGCUUUGUUUAUGAAGAGCUGAGUAUAUUGAUAGGAUGCAAAUGAUAGUGAUGAGUCUGAGGUGGAGGAAAUUGAGUUGGACGAUUCUGAGUGAUCAAGUUAUGUAGUUUCAGUGUAGUUAGUUGCUAAGAAUUCUGGGAGUGGCAGUUAAACCUGAUAUGGGGAAAUUUCAGCUCAUUUCCUCUGUAUCCUAAGAAGACUUGAUUCUCAGUCAUCCAAGUCAUGAGGGACAAAAAAAAAAGUAGUAACUAUUAUUGGAGGUCGGGUGCAAAAAAAAAAAAGAGUUAUGAGGGCAAACAUCUAGUUAUUCUGGGUAUUGCUGAGAUAUAUUUUAGCUUUGUCAUCCACAAGUAGUAACUAUUACUAGAGGUCGGGUGCAACUACUACUCUAGUAGUACCCUGAUUUCAACAUGUAAAUUGAUUCCUGGAUGAACUAAAAAGAUAUGAAACCAGUACACAUUUCAAGUUGGCUGUUUUGUUCUACAACUUGAACCAAGAUUAAACAUCUUAUUGUCAACUAUCAAUCUUGAUUUGUGUUAAAUAUUUGCUAUUUUCACAUGGUUGUUUGCUUUGAUGCUUUGGGUGGGUUUGUUUGACUAAGAAAGUGGUUGUGAUUUGGAUGGGCUUUCUUGUUGCCUUGAUUGUAGGUGAAGCAGUUGUUUAAUAGCAAUAUCUAUUAGUAAUAGCAGUUGUCUAAUUUCAGUAUUUAAUUACAGGCAAGACAUGAGUAGCCACCUACAAUCCUAAGAGAUCUUGCAUCUAGUCAACUUAUCACUUUUCUAGUGUAAUAUUGUCAAAAAGGUAAAAGAAAUGAAAAAGGAUUUGGCUUGCUUAGGGAAAGGGUUAACAUCCUUUGGAAUUGAUAUGGGCUUGCUUGAGGAGUUUCCUAACAUUCACUUUUGAGGAAUUGAGUAGUUAUAUAAUACAUCGUGAUUCAUAAAAUGCUUUGCUUUCACAUUUUGUGUCUAGAAAACCUGAGGGCAGUGAACUAUUUCAUAUCAUAUUGAUGUAUAUUUGUUUU